AAAAGAGUUUUUAGAAUUUGCUGCUGAAAUUCACCCUCUGGAUACUAAAUGACUCGCUGGCUUGGGCUAUCAGACAGCAUCACAGUACUAUUCCCGUCAGCAUCCAGAGCUCCGGACUCCGGAUGUUGCUCUGAUGCCGAUUGCACUCUUCUGUGCUAUCUGACAUUUCAAGUCCCGUCCACUACAUUUCAAAUGCAGCUGCCAACUCGGCAGACACUGGGGAUUAGGAUAAAUUGGUUCAGGUAAGUCUUCAUGCCUUUAAAUCCUCCUGUCAGAGCAAUUUCUCUUCCACCCCGCAUUCCUAUUCAGUUUCAAUCCCCAGGUUUUACUCAUCUGAGUAUUAAGAUCUCAUCCAAUUUCCUGCAGAUUUGUGAAGAGACGAUAUUCAAGGACAUUUUAGCCAGGAGCCUGGUUGCCUCUGCCAGGAGGCUCAAGCGUGGCAGACAAUGACCAAUGACCAAUGAGUCAAAGAGUAAUAGAUGGUUAAUAGACCACAAAAUCAAAAUUUUGCAAUGGCCUGUGGUUUGAAUAACCGCAGACUGAUGGAUAUCAAGGAUCUGGAAAGAUUCUGUAUGGAGGAAUGGUGUACGAUACCCCCCAAUGUGUUCUCCAGUCUUAUGAAGUAUUAGAGAAAAAAGCUCAGUGCUGUAAUCCAUGCAAAUGGAGAGCACACAAUGUUAUGCAUGUGCAACAGAAUAAUGUGCAAUGUUUUCAUUUUCUUAUUUUUUUUUGUUCACAUUCUGUUUAAAUGUACGGGAGUGCUGUGUGUCCAUAAAAAAAUUC
rnacentral:lncRNA from 1 species